rnacentral:rRNA from 1 species
UUUUUUUUUUUUAAUAAAGAGAAAGUCUUAUUCUGUUAAUUAAUUUGGCAGCAAAGAACAAUCAUUCUUAAUAAACAACUAUUGGGAUAGUAGGGUGGCUGCAGCCGGGGGAGUUCCAGCUGCAAUAGCGGAUAUUAACGAUGUUGCAGUUAAAAAAAUAGUAGUUGAUGAAGAGAUAAUUAAUUGAAAGAAGUGGUAUUCGUUCAUUCUACUUUUAUGUAAGUAAUUGACAUCCAGCCGGGUGGUGUGGUUCUUUCGGGGGGUGGGGUGGUAGAUUGGUCAUUUAUUAUGAGAAAAAAAAAGUGUUUAAAGCAGACUUUUUUCAAAAUAGUUUGAAUAGAUUAGCAUGGAAUAAUAAGAUUGGCUUUCAUAGUCGAUUUUUUGGUUUGUUUAUGAAAGCAAGAUUAAUAGGGACAGUUGGGGGUAUUCAUAUUCAAUAGCUAGUAGUGGACUGAUGGCU